AGAGGAAGUAAAAGUCGUAACAAGGUUUCCGUAGGUGAACCUGCGGA
rnacentral:rRNA from 18 species